CGUACACUCCUGCGGGAGGCAGCAGUGGGGAAUAUUGGACAAUGGGCGCAAGCCUGAUCCAGCCAUGCCGCGUGAGUGAUGAAGGCCCUAGGGUUGUAAAGCUCUUUCACCGGUGAAGAUAAUGACGGUAACCGGAGAAGAAGCCCCGGCUAACUUCGUGCCAGCAGCCGCGGUAAUACGAAGGGGGCUAGCGUUGUUCGGAUUUACUGGGCGUAAAGCGCACGUAGGCGGACUAUUAAGUCAGGGGUGAAAUCCCGGGGCUCAACCCCGGAACUGCCUUUGAUACUGGUAGUCUUGAGUUCGAGAGAGGUGAGUGGAAUUCCGAGUGUAGAGGUGAAAUUCGUAGAUAUUCGGAGGAACACCAGUGGCGAAGGCGGCUCACUGGCUCGAUACUGACGCUGAGGUGCGAAAGCGUGGGGAGCAAACAGGAUUAGAUACCCGUGUAGUCCCAUGA
rnacentral:rRNA from 1 species